UACGUAGGUGGCAAGCGUUGUCCGGAUUUACUGGGCGUAAAGGGCGUGCAGGCGGUCUGUUAAGUGCAGGGUGAAAGCUCCCGGCUCAACUGGGAGAGGUCCUUGCAUACUGGCGGACUUGAGGGGGGUAGAGGAAAGUGGAAUUCCCGGUGUAGUGGUGAUAUGCGUAGAUAUCGGGAGGAACACCUGUGGCGAAGGCGGCUUUCUGGGCCCUACCUGACGCUGAGGUGCGAAAGCGUGGGGAGCAAACAGG
rnacentral:rRNA from 1 species